rnacentral:lncRNA from 1 species
GAUCUCUCCGUUCUAAGUUGCAACAUGCUGUGCGACAAAGGUCAGAUCAUUAUCCAUUUGUUCCUAUAAGGAAUAUUUUAAUAGGAGAGCCUCCUGUAUUUGGUUCUUGUACAUCGAUUCUCAUUUGUUUAAAUUGUGAUUUUAUCUUGUGUUGCACUUUUCAGGGGGCUGCAAAGACACACAAUGCAACUUAUUUUGAGGAUGAAAUUAAUGAAGUGUGACUUGAGACUUUCAGCUACAUUGAAACUUCAUGUAAAAGCGAUAUUAGUUGGUUUUGAUUUUAGUAGAAACUACAUUGAAGCAAUAUAUCUUUUGGUAAUUUGUAACUUGG